AUUUCGUUUGCCCUUUACAUGGUAUUUUAAUGAUUUUAACUGUUGUUUAUUAAGGGGGGCAAAGGGAUUACAGACCUGAAAUCUGCUCUUGAGAAAAUUUUUGGUGAGACUCUUUUGGACAACAAAGAUGACUUCCUGAAAACUUUUUCAACUGAGAAUAACUUCAUUAGUUCGGUUGUUUCCCAUGGAAAAAAGUUGCAAAUGAAAGCUUCCAAUGGCCAUGUAAC